rnacentral:rRNA from 1 species
UACGUAGGGAGCGAGCGUUGUCCGGAUUCAUUGGGCGUAAAGAGCUCGUAGGCGGCUUGGUAAGUCGGAUGUGAAACCUCCAGGCUCAACCUGGAGUCGCCAUCCGAUACUGCCAUGGCUAGAGUCCGGUAGGGGCCCACGGAAUUCCUGGUGUAGCGGUGAAAUGCGCAGAUAUCAGGAGGGACACCGAUGGCGAAGGCAGUGGGCUGGGCCGGCACUGACGCUGAGGAGCGAAAGCGUGGGGAGCGAACAGG